GUCCCCAUCGUCUAGUGGCCUAGGACGUCGGCCUCUCACGCCGAUAACGCGGGUUCAAACCCCGCUGGGGACGCCA
rnacentral:tRNA from 1 species